rnacentral:rRNA from 1 species
CGUGGGUAACCUGCCCAAGAGAUCGGGAUAACACCUGGAAACAGAUGCUAAUACCGGAUAACAACAGAUGAUGCCUAUCAACUGUUUAAAAGAUGGUUCUGCUAUCACUCUUGGAUGGACCUGCGGUGCAUUAGCUAGUUGGUAGGGUAACGGCCUACCAAGGCGAUGAUGCAUAGCCGAGUUGAGAGACUGAUCGGCCACAUUGGGACUGAGACACGGCCCAAACUCCUACGGGAGGCAGCAGU